GGGGUGUUUGGAAUUGGACACGGAGUGGAAUCUACUCUUUCUCUCCACUUCCCACUUCAGUACCUUGAAGAAUAGAUCUCAGCCAGACGCGGGGUCAUUUCCUGUUUUGAGCCUAAGUCUUCAAGAGCUGGGGGCAGAGACAAAGGAGAGAUCUCAUUUAACCAGGUGUGUGUGGCACAGGAAGUGUCCCCAAUCACCACUCCUGUUUGACUGGGUUCAGUCUGAUGCUCAUGCUUUCAUAGAGGAGGUGAGGUGCAGCUUCCCUGAAGAAGUGCUCACUUCACCUCUGUUUCUCCAUCAGAAGGUUCUGCAGUAGAAGUUUAAACAGUCUGACCACUUCAGAAGGCAUGCAAGACAAACAAACAAACACACACACUCUCUCUGUCUACUUGUGAGUCUGCUUUGCUGGGUCUGGUAACCCUCGGUUCAGUCUUCUGAACCCUGAACUAAAUUCCAUGAUCCUCCACUUGGAGGAAAGGGCACUGUCGUCGUCUCUUCUACGUUGUCUAAGGGCUAUGAAGAGCUGAAAAGGAGGACCAUGCACCUUUGACGUCUCAGGUUCCCUAUACCAAGGUCCUCUCAUGCUUUGAUGGUACAGAUUUCUCCAAGAGGCCUCUUACUUUUGGAAACGGUUCAAAAAAGGUUCCAAUCUGUGUUCAUUACAUGUCUAAAUGAAGGGGGCCUAUAUAAAAUUGCUUUCCUUAAAACUGGUAGGAAAAUAGCUUUCUCUUACCCUUUGCCUUACUCAAAACAGACCCUGUGUGUUGCUGCCUGUUUUAAAAACACAAGUUCCAUGCAAUGUAGACAAUGGGCAGACCUCCAUUUAUUUAGCUUCUCCAUGGCAACUGCUUGUUGAGAAAGCUAAAGUGUCACUCACUCCUGGUCGGAUCAGUACCUUUGUUUUGUAGCAAAAUACUAUCAGAGUGAUGUCUAACAUUAGCUGAACUAAAAUAACUGAUAAGAAAUAAGUGGAUUUAUUAAUAGUAAUGCAUUACCUGCAUGGGGGGUGGGGUAAGAUGCAUUCUAGGAGAAGAUAAAGAAAAUAUCCUAGAAGUAAUCAAUGUUGGAGAUCACUGUUUUGCACAUAGUGGGAAAGGGAAGGGGAAGUAAUGCCUGGCAGUAGAAGGUUUGGAGGAUUUUAUUUUUUAAUCCUCUCUCUUCUUGUCAGUGUCAGAGAGCCAGUUAUGCUCAUAUGAGGCCAAUAGGACUGUGAUGGAUUGAAGUCUGCUUGAUUUCUGAAAUUGAGUUAUAAAUUAUGUACAUAAGCAUACGAGACAACCUCAUAUUUGAGAAGAGCAAUAUUGAAGCUUUGGAGUAGAGGUAAGAGAAUUCUACAUAUUGUAAAAUAUGAAAUGUCCUGAGAAAAUUAGUCUUUUUUUUUUUAGGAAUAGGAAACAGAUAAAAGGAAGUAAAAAAUUGAAGAAUCACCAAUAUAAAUUUCAAAAGAAAGAAAAGGAAUCUACUUUGAAGACUUACAAGAAGAGUAAAGGUAAAAAAUUAUUUACUCUGAACACCAGAAUAUGUUCUUGGAUAGCUGUGAGCCAAACUUAACCUGGUCACAGAAGCAGGAACAGAAAGUUAACAGGAGAACAAGCGCAGGGAACCAUGCCUUCUGGAGCUCCCGUCACCGCACGGUUCCCUCCCACACUGAGCCUGCAGUGAUCCUGGUAUAGAAAAUAGAAGGCGAUGGAAGUGAUGCGGCAUGACUUCCAAGGUGAGGUUACAAGAAGCCAUGCAGCUUUGCGCUGGGCUUUUAGAACACUUGCUUUGGGUGAAACCAGUCCCCAUUUAAGAAGCCCAUUCACUCUGAGUGGGACAUGGUGUGGGGAAGCCCAGACUAGCCAUUUGAAUAGGUCAUGUAGAAAGGGAAGGAGGGGAGGGCAAGAGGAGGGAGGGAAAAGAGAGGUUAACUGGCCAGAUCCCUGCUGCUGUCCAAGUCGUCUCAGCCAAAAAGUCAGUUGUGUGCGAUGCGAGGCCCACGUGGAUGUCUAGCCCUCCUGAGUCUUCAGGAAUCCCAGCCCCAGUCACCAUUUCUCUGUUCUGCUUGAGACACACCAAGCAAGACAGACCAGCGGAACCCAGUCAACCCACAGACCCCGAGAGGCACUGGAGAUUUUGGCUUUUAAUUUGGGGCGAGGUUUAGCCACAGAUCCUUUAGCAG